AUGACUGACACUUCCAAAGCUGUUCCAACUUUUGAAGAGAUGUUUGCUAGUAGAUUCACAGAAGGUGACAGGGAGUAUCAGCAAUACCUGAAAUGCCCUCCUGGGUCCCCUCUAAUUGUUGAGGAAUGGAAUAGCAGAGCUGCUGGGAACCAAAGAAAUAGAGACAAUCAGUCUCAAGAUAACAGACAGUUCAGAGGCAGGGAUAGCAGCCAGGGAUGGCCAAGUGACAAUUGAUCCAAUCAGUGGCAUGGAAGAUUCUGGGGGUAACAUUACCCAUAACACAGACAAGAACCUUACUAUCCCCACCAAUAUUGGCACUAUGGUUAAAACCAGCAGCCUCCUUACGGUUACUACUGA
rnacentral:lncRNA from 1 species